GUAGCUUGGUACUGUGUUACAAGUAGUUUGCUGGUAAAAGCUGCAGACUUCUGUGUAACCGCAUACUGUCUGCUGCCCUCUCAAUUCUCAACGAGGUUUCCUUUCUGUGUGGUAUCAAACGCUGAGUGGCCAAGAUCUCCAGAAUGCAGGCGAAAAGCAUUAGGUCUGGCUCCAUCCAGGACCAAUUCACAGCCUUUUGUUUUUCCAGUCAAAUCCAUAGAAGAUGAGGUAGAAGUAUGGCUGAAAAACGUACCUGGUGUGCACCACCCCUACCCCGUUCAUUCUUGCACAAACGCUCAGCAAGUACAAUGCCAGCGUUCUUGGUCCCUUCUUCCUGGCUGUGAUGGGUGAAAUAAGCUGCUAGGAUGUGCAGAGGCUACCUGAGCCUGAUUGAUUGGAAAGACUGAGGAGAGAGGAAGAGGGUGAGCGCAGACACCAGGUACUCUGGCCUUCUAUUAGAGCUUCUUCUGGGCUCACUGUUCAGGAGUAACUGAGUGAAAUCUAACAGACAGGGUUACUCGGCAGGCAGAAUAGUGGAUCCAAUAGCUUCCUUCCGUCUUAAAUGCUGUGAAUUGAACUGGGGGAAAAAAGAGCAUGAUGCUGUUCAGGCACAUACUUUUAAAGCAAAUCUGUAAGGGGCUCAAGAGAGAUCAAGGGAGAGUUGGUUGCCUCACUCUGUUCCAUUUAUACAAGGAUAUAUUUAUAAGGUGGUAGUUCUAUUGUAUGUAUUUAUACAUGAGAAAAUCUCUCUUCCCAACUGACAGAACAGGAUAAUAGGAUUACAGAAGCUAAAAGGUAAGCCACUUCGACUUUAAACAGUCUUCUCAUGCUAAUCCUGAUAAUCAGGGGAAAAUGUGAUGGACUAAGGUAGUAAUAUCCAUGCCUCAGAAAAAUGGUUAUUCCCAUUGCUGCAUUCCUUCCUGGGAACAGUCUAAGUCAGUCUUGCAUUAUGUGAGACAUGCCAGACUGAAGACUAAUGGGCACAUUCUACUUAUAUUGUUGUACUUUCUGCUUAGGUUAAUUGAGAAUUUUUCUCUUCCUCAAAACACAUAGUUAGAUGUGAUUGGAGAUAAGCCUUCUCCUUCUUUGAUGCCUUACUAGAAAUAACUUUGUGGCCUUUCCAAUUUAACUGAAAGAUGAAUUGGAAAACUUAUGUAAGGAGAAAACUGUGCGAUUCUUCAAGGUGGUUUUUUUUAAUAUGAAGAGAUUUGUCUGAAAUUUUGAAGUUUUGUUCAACUCUUCUAAUAUUAUAAAACUUCCCAGACUACCCUUGUUAGUAACCAGUUAACAAUAAUUUUCCCUGAGCAAACCAAGAAACACAAUAUAUGCUUUGUAGUUUCCACAUGCCAGAUUAUACUCUUGAUGAGAGGAGGAAUGAUGCCAACUUACUCGCAUACAAAAAGGCAGUCUUAGGUCUAAGAUGUAGUUACAGCAUUAUGCUUAGAAAAACUGCUUUUCAGCAUAGCUCUUUUUAUAAAGUAGUUUAAAAAAAAAAAAAACUGCAGAAAUUUUGGUUUAUUGCACCUGUCAUGUUGUCGUCUUUUAAAAACCAUAAUUUAACUAGCAUGCCAUAAGGGAGCCAUUUUUAUGAAGCUCCUUUCUUUUCCCUGCUUCGGACACUGGAAAAGAUAAAUGGUGCUGUCCUUCCAAGCAUAGACUCUUUUCAAAAAGAAUGGAGAUUCUGCUGGAUUUUGUGGGGUGGUUUUUCUUCCCCUCCUCCCCCCCCCAAAUCUAGGAACUUAGUUUGUAGGAAUUGAAAAAUUACUCUGAUCAGUUUCAUAAACCAAGUGUUGAAGGCUAUAAAGGAAAACAGAAACCUUUUGUACUGAUUUUCAUUCUAAGUUUGUACAGUUGCACAGUUCAGAUUAAAGCUGGCAAGCUUAAGACUGACUAGUGAUUAAAGGUGCUAAAAGAGUAAGACCAUAAGAAAAGCAUUGAGAACUAGGAUUAAGUAAGUAAGUGAUGUAAAAAUGCAAAGCAGCUAUCCUGCUAUUUGAAGUAAUGCACAGGUCCAUCUUAAACCACAACCACUGCAAAAGUAAACAGUGCCACUGUUUAGUGAGUUGCUAGUGCUCCUGAAGUCAUUUGUAGAUUUUGUAUAAGGGUUGUUUGUUUCUUUUCAGUAAGAUUUACAGUUUGUGGACCAGAGUUACUGUUCUGUAUUAAUGUGGCAAAAAUACAGUUUUAAAGAAUAUUUUGAAAACCACUGGAACCAGACAUGCUUGUUAACUAACUAUUUAAUAACUAACUGAUCCAUAAUCAGCUGUAGAACUGCAAGCAAUAUUAAAAAAAAAAAGCGCAAGCAGAAUUUGUUGCACUUCAUAACUCUCAAUGCAAUACUGAACUAAAAAAAUAAAAAAAAUUGUUGGCUUGCUUUUCGAUGUAGUGGCUCGUUCAGUAUUUAGAACUGUUGCCAAAUGAGUCUGCUAUUUAAUUGUAGCCUCUUGCUG